rnacentral:rRNA from 1 species
GAUGAACGCUGGCGGCGUGCCUAAUACAUGCAAGUCGAGCGAAUGGAUUAAGAGCAUGCUCUUAUGAAGUUAGCGGCGGACGGGUGAGUAACACGUGGGUAACCUGCCCAUAAGACUGGGAUAACUCCGGGAAACCGGGGCUAAUACCGGAUAACAUUUUGAACCGCAUGGUUCGAAAUUGAAAGGCGGCUUCGGCUGUCACUUAUGGAUGGACCCGCGUCGCAGUAGCUAGUUGGUGAGGGAACGGCUCACCAAGGCAACGAUGCGUAGCCGACCUGAGAGGGUGAUCGGCCACACUGGGACUGAGACACGGCCCAGACUCCUACGGGAGGCAGCAGUAGGGAAUCUUCCGCAAUGGACGAAAGUCUGACGGAGCAACGCCGCGUGAGUGAUGAAGGCUUUCGGGUCGUAAAACUCUGUUGUUAGGGAAGAACGAGUGCUAGUCGAAUAAGCUGGCACCUUGACGGUACCUAACCAGAAAGCCACGGCUAACUACGUGCCAGCCGCCGCAGUAA